UACGUAGGGUGCGAGCGUUGUCCGGAAUUAUUGGGCGUAAAGAGCGUGUAGGCGGUCAGGUAGGUCCGUUGUGAAAACUCGAGGCUCAACCUCGAGACGCCGAUGGAAACCAUCUGACUAGAGUCCGGAAGAGGAGAGUGGAAUUCCCGGUGUAGCGGUGAAAUGCGCAGAUAUCGGGAAGAACACCUGUGGCGAAGGCGGCUCUCUGGGACGGUACUGACGCUGAGACGCGGAAAGCGUGGGGAGCGAACAGG
rnacentral:rRNA from 1 species